AGGAAGUGGUCUCUGCAGAUCUUGUGUUAACAUCUCUUACAAUCCAUACUAAUCCAAGAUAUUUACGUGCCAUCCAGCUUUAUUUCUAACAUUACUUGUUUAUUUACAGAACUAUCUUGUCAUCAUGAGAGCGAAGUGGCGAAAGAAGCGCAUGCGCAGGCUGAAGCGUAAAAGGCGAAAGAUGAGGCAGAGGUCCAAGUAAAGCGGCCGCCGUGCGCUGAAGCUGGGAGUGCUCCUCCACUUCAAUCUCUUCAGCACGAGUCUGUUGGAAGCCCAACUGAAGCUCCACUCAAGCACCAUCUAUGAGGCCUGCUUUCCCUGAAUGAGGAUUUGGUUUUCCAUCACCUGGUUCUGCGGCAGAAGCAUCCUGGUCUUGAUGACCAAGUGAACUGUUUUGGACAUUCCUCAGACCUGUCAGCUCAGCGUGUUUUUGUUAAUGUCUUCAAUAAAUCUUUUUGGUUUAAAACAA